AUGUGUCUUAUAAAGAGGAGGAGAUGCAAAUUCAGCGGGGCCCGCUCCCAGGUGGUUCUGACCCAGUCGGGGCCAGCGCUGAAGCAGGCCGGAGAGUCCCAUACGCUGCAACGUGCCACCAGCGGGUUCGCUCUGAGCGGCGCCUGGAUGGGCUGGGUCAGACGGGAGCCCGGGAAGGGGCUGGGGUGGCGGGCCAGGUACUAUGAUCCCUCCAUCCACAGUUACGCCUCCUCCAUCCAGGGGAGAUCUGCAGCCUCCAAGGACAGCACCACUUUCCGCUUGCACAUGAACAGCCUGAAAGCCAAGGACACCGCUGUGUAG